AACGAACGCUGGCGGCGUGCCUAAUACAUGCAAGUUGAGCGCUGAAGGUUGGUACUUGUACCAACUGGAUGAGCAGCGAACGGGUGAGUAACGCGUGGGGAAUCUGCCUUUGAGCGGGGGACAACAUUUGGAAACGAAUGCUAAUACCGCAUAAAAACUUUAAACACAAGUUUUAAGUUUGAAAGAUGCAAUUGCAUCACUCAAAGACGAUCCCGCGUUGUAUUAGCUAGUUGGUGAGGUAAAGGCUCACCAAGGCGAUGAUACAUAGCCGACCUGAGAGGGUGAUCGGCCACAUUGGGACUGGGACACGGCCCAAACUCCUACGGGAGGCAGCAGUAGGGAAUCUUCGGCAAUGGACGAAAGUCUGACCGAGCAACGCCGCGUGAGUGAAGAAGGUUUUCGGAUCGUAAAACUCUGUUGGUAGAGAAGAACGUUGGUGAGAGUAGAAAGCUCAUCAAGUGACGGUAACUACACAGAAAGGGACGGCUAACUACGUG
rnacentral:rRNA from 1 species